GGGGGUGACACGGCUUCGACGUGGGUCACGAAAUCUCUGGGGCAUGCCGAGGUGCAGAUCUCCUCGUAAAUCCAGCUGCAAACCAAUAGUUGCCAACGACGACAACUACGCUCUGGCGGCCUAAAACCCGCUAGCCUCUCGCCCGCGCUGAGCCCGUAGGCUGGAAUCGAGGGGUCAUCUUUACGGGAUCGCAUCGGCUUGUGCCUGUUAGGCCGGUGCUAAAACCAAGCAGGCUAAGCGCGUCGAUGACCCUGUCUGCCGGGGAGCGAGGCGUCAAAUAAAAGACAGACUACGCAUGUAGAACCGGAGCCGUAGGGCUUGCGGACGCGGGUUCAAUUCCCGCCACCUCCACCA
rnacentral:tmRNA from 1 species